UACAGAGGUGGCAAGCGUUGUUCGGAAUUACUGGGCGUAAAGGGCGCGUAGGCGGCACAGCAAGUCGGGAGUGAAAGCCCGGGGCUCAACCCCGGAAUGGCUUUCGAAACUGCUGAGCUAGAGUACAGAAGGGGCAACCGGAAUUCCCAGUGUAGCGGUGAAAUGCGUAGAUAUUGGGAAGAACACCUGAGGCGAAGGCGGGUUGCUGGGCUGAUACUGACGCUGAGGCGCGAAAGCCAGGGGAGCAAACGGG
rnacentral:rRNA from 1 species